AAGGAAUUCACCUGAGACACUUUGAUCCGCUCCUUAGUUGCCAAAGCAGCAACACUUCAGCUGUCAAUAAUGGGAUGCUGCUGUGGAAGAUGCUCCCGCCGUCACAGCGACAACUCCUCUUACGAAACCCACGGACAGGAUAUCUGUGUGCAGAGGCCAUCGCAGUAUGGCGGUGGAGCUAAAGGUGGUGCUAAAGGCGGCGCUAAAGGCGGAUCCUCUGGUCAUCAGAAGGGAGGACAAUGCGAAUCUGAAGAAUGCCAAUCACCCCAGCAACAGAGCCCAGCUUGUGCUUACCCAGCCAAAGGCUAGUCAGCCAAAUCUCUGGAUUUGCAUUCAUUCCAACAACCGUGGGGAUGAAGACUCAACUACUCCAGCUCCCAACAUUUUCAAUGCAAAGAAUCUCAGCGGAAAGCACAUAAAUCAAACUGUGACUAUUUAUCUUUAAGGACAGUUUAUUCUCUGGGUGCCACUUCCACCUGAGGUGUUUGUGGUGUCCAUUCAUUUGCAUGUACUACAUUCUUACCUGUACUGACCUGUCCCUUUUCUAAAUUAUAUUAUUACAAGUGGUA